GGGCAAAAUGGCACCGUAACUUCGGGAGAAGGUGCGCCGGUGAGGGUGAAGGACUUGCUCCGUAAGCCCAUGCCGGUCGAAGAUACCAGGCCGCUGCGACUGUUUAUUAAAAACACAGCACUCUGCAAACACGAAAGUGGACGUAUAGGGUGUGACGCCUCCCCGGUGCCGGAAGGUUAAUUGAUGGGGUUAGCUAACGCGAAGCUCUUGAUCGAAGCCCCGGUAAACGGCGGCCGUAACAAUAACGGUCCUAAGGUAGCGAAAUUCCUUGUCGGGUAAGUUCCGACCUGCACGAAUGGCGUAACGAUGGCGGCGCUGUCUCCACCCGAGACUCAGUGAAAUUGAAAUCGCUGUGAAGAUGCAGUGUAUCCGCGGCUAGACGGAAAGACCCCGUGAACCUUUACUAUAGCUUUGCACUGGACUUUGAAUUUGCUUGUGUAGGAUAGGUGGGAGGCUUUGAAGCGUGGACGCCAGUUCGCGUGGAGCCAACCUUGAAAUACCACCCUGGCAACUUUGAGGUUCUAACUCAGGUCCGUUAUCCGGAUCGAGGACAGUGUAUGGUGGGUAGUUUGACUGGGGCGGUCUCCUCCUAAAGAGUAACGGAGGAGUACGAAGGUGCGCUCAGACCGGUCGGAAAUCGGUCGUAGAGUAUAAAGGCAAAAGCGCGCUUGACUGCGAGACAGACACGUCGAGCAGGUACGAAAGUAGGUCUUAGUGAUCCUGUGGUUCUGUAUGGAAGGGCCAUCGCUCAACGGAUAAAAGGUACUCCGGGGAUAACAGGCUGAUACCGCCCAAGAGUUCAUAUCGACGGCGGUGUUUGGCACCUCGAUGUCGGCUCAUCACAUCCUGGGGCUGAAGCCGGUCCCAAGGGUAUGGCUGUUCGCCAUUUAAAGUGGUACGCGAGCUGGGUUUAGAACGUCGUGAGACAGUUCGGUCCCUAUCUGCCGUGGACGUUUGAGAUUUGAGAGGGGCUGCUCCUAGUACGAGAGGACCGGAGUGGACGAACCUCUGGUGUUCCGGUUGUCACGCCAGUGGCAUUGCCGGGUAGCUAUGUUCGGAAUAGAUAACCGCUGAAAGCAUCUAAGCGGGAAACUAGCCUCAAGAUGAGAUCUCACUGGGACCUUGAGUCCCCUGAAGGGCCGUCGAAGACUACGACGUUGAUAGGUUGGGUGUGUAAGCGCUGUGAGGCGUUGAGCUAACCAAUACUAAUUGCCCGUGAGGCUUGACCAA
rnacentral:rRNA from 1 species